rnacentral:rRNA from 1 species
CCCUUAGAUGUUCUGGGCCGCACGCGCGCUACACUGAUCGGUGCAACAAGCAUCCGCCCUUGGCCGACAGGCCCGGGCAAUCUUUGAACGCCGGUCGUGAUGGGGAUAGACCUUUGCAAUUUUUGGUCUUCAACGAGGAAUUCCUAGUAAACGCAAGUCAUCAACUUGCAUUGAUUACGUCCCUGCCCUUUGUACACACCGCCCGUCGCACCUACCGAUUGAAUGGUCCGGUGAAACCUCCGGAUUGGCGCGUGCCCUCGGGCGCCGCCGAGAAGUUGGUUAAACCUUACCAUUUAGAGGAAGGUGAAGUCGUAACA